rnacentral:lncRNA from 1 species
AGAAAAAAUGUGGUCAUGGGUUUUCAUUAUUUCUUUAGCCAUUUUGGCUGAGGAAACAACUAGAACUGGUUCAAAGCACAUGCGCAAAGACAUUAGAGGUCCGUACUUCUGAGAAAGUUUCCAUAGAGAGAUAUAAGAGGCUGAGUUAUGAAGUUGAUGCAAGUUGCCUACGAAGGGAAGAGCUCGGGGACCUGGUGGGAAAUCAGGAUUUGUUUUAGUUUUGCGAUUUUGGAAAAGCAACAAGAGCAAUACAGGAACAGCUAAUGCAAGGAAGACAAAUGAAACCAUUGUUGCUUGUGAACUCAAUAACCAAAGAAUUUAACCAAAGAUCUCAAACACUCAUCAGUUAUGUUAAUCUCGAUGCAUUCUUUCACUUAUUUAUAGUUGGUCAUUGACAAAGACUUUUAGCACCCGGAUCGAGAUUGCGCCUAAAAGAAAGACUUAAAAUUCAGUAAAAUUCACUAAGCUCACAUGUCUCGUCCAGUCUGUAAUCAAAUUAGGCAUGACACUGAUUAGAGGAAAACCCAGCUCGUGUGCUUAAAAUUCACUAAGCUCACAUGUCUCGUCCAGCCUGUAAUCAAAUUAGGCAUGACACUGAUUAGAGGAAAACCCAGCUGGUGUGAUAUGAUAGAAGGUAGGAAAGCAGUCGGAAUUAAAUCAGCAGAUGAGAACAAGUUAAAUUUGUAUAUACGAAUUUACGUGAUAAAAAAAGUCAAUAAUAGAGUAACGAUUUUGAGGAUAAUUGAAAAAAAAAAACACUCUCAAAAAUGUUAUUUCAGAACAUCAGUUAUAAAGAAUGUGCCCCUCACUUCAUUAAUUAAGAAAAAAUAAACGAAAAGAUGAAUCGAGGAUGUGCAUGUGCAGUCCUACCAUUUAAACUAGUAAAAAUAGUUGCAGAAUUAUAGAAUACCCCACAAUCCAAAAGCUUUUAAUAUGUGUAUUAAAAAAGGUAAAACAUGUAUAUUAAUUUUUAGGUAAAAUUAUUUUUUAAUUCCUAUAAUAUUAAAAAAAUUAUUAAUUAAUCUUUCAAUUUUAAAAAAUAUAUUAAAAUAUCUCUUAUAUUUUAAAAAGUUUAUUAGUUAACUUCUACGUUAAUUUUGUAAUUAAAUAUUUACUAUUUAAUCUCUAUAAUUUUAAAAAUUUAUUAUUUAAUAUUUUAAUUUUUUAAAAAAUUUACUAAUUAGCACAUCACGAAUAUUUUAGAUUUUUUUAUAAUAUUCAACGGCUAAAACUAACGAAAAAUUUAACUAGUAGAUAUCUUUUAAUAUUAUCGACGUUUUAAUGUAUUUUUCAAAAUCAAUAAAUUAAUUAAUAAGUUUUUUCAUAUUAUAAAGAUUAAAUUGUAAUUCUCUAAUUUUUAUUUUUUAUUUUUUAUUCAACAUGUUAUUAUAUAAUUGAAUUAAUAUACAUGGUAGUUAUAUUAUAAAUUCAUUCAUAUACUAGUAUGCUAUUAAAACUAGUCAUAUAAAUAAAAAGGCUAUUAAAUAAAAAAAUUUAAAUAUUUACAAUAAUUAUAUUUAUAUCCAACACUUUAAAUUUUAGAUAGUAAAAUCAAAUAUUUUUAAUUUUUCACAACUAUAAUCAAGAAAAUUAAAUUAAAUUUUAAAAUGUUAAUAGUAAAUUAUAAUAUCAUUCUUAAAAUUUUCUUCGACUAAUAAAGUAGUUCUUAAAUAUAUUUUUUUAUUACAAUAAUAUUAUUUUUUUUGUUAAUUCAAUUAUUUAUUCCUUAUUUUUACUUUUACUGUAACAGCCCGGAAACCGAACUGCUACCGGCACUAGGAUCCAGAUCAAUUUAAGGUCGCCGGGACCCGUAGUAACCCUGCUAUACUGUCUGUGUACCUGUGAAAUCCCAUACAUGAGCAUACAUUUUCUGUCAAACCAUUCAAACUUUUCUUUCCUCCAGGGCUUAACCUGUGCAUGCACUAUUUCUGAUCUAUCAACUCAUAAUGUUAAGUCUAGUUUUCUCAUAUGCAUAACAAUAAAAGAAAACAUACAUAAAAUGAUCAUGUGUAUACCAAAAGGGGAUUACAACUCUUAUAAGUCAAGCACAAAGCUACACACUAUACAUUAUCUCUUUACAUGUACAUGUCCACACUAGCUAUUACAUAACUGUUCUUCUUGCAAACCCUACUGGACUCCCUCUGGACUCUGAACCUGCAAACCUGGGGGAUAGAGGAGAGGGAUGAGCUAUACAAGCCCAAUGAGCAGAACUCUAAACCGGAAUUUUAAAACAUGAUCUCAUGGAAUGCACUACAUCACAUCAUCUCAGGGAUAGACAUGACCGCCAAAAAUCCCACUGAAAGGAUGCCUGGCCUAGCCAGGUCUUACAACCUCAAUCUGCCUGGCCCGGCCAGGUCUUACAACUCUGUCUGCCUGGCCCAACCAGGUCUUACUAUCUCUGCUGCCUGAUCUAGUCAGGUCUUACCUACAGAUGGCUGCCUGGCCCGGCCAGGUCUUAUAAUAGAGCUUGGACUAUUGGAGUAGCCUUGGUCUAUCCAUAGCCUCAUAUACAUCGUAUUAUGCAAUGCGUCAUCUUCGUGAAACUAAUGCAAACAUCCUACUAUAAUCUUAUGAUGCAUGACAUAUGCUCAAAGCAGUUUAGUUCUGAAAAGAGAAGUUCCACUCACCUCUGGCUGACUCUGUACUCACUCUGCAGGUUCUGAAACAAUGCUCACUGCUGCUCUCUGGGGUUCCUCUGGUCCGUACCUACACAGGUGGACUCAAAUGAGGGACCAAGAAACUCCCCAAAAACCUUCUACAAGAUCCCCAAACAAUCACAUAAAACAUGCAAAAGAAAGCUGGACAGGGCACUUUCGGCGGCAGGUUCGGCGGCCGAAACCCCUCUCCAGAGACGAAACUCAUGCAUGUUCGGGGGCACCUUCGGCGGCCGAAGGUCUCGUCCAGAGACGAAACUCAUGCACUUUCGGCGGCUGAACUCCCUCUUUCGGCGGCCGAAAGUCCCUUUCUAAACCGAAAGCCUAGCUUUCGGGGGCAAGCUUUGGCAGCCGAAACUGCCUCCACAAGGGGAUCGGCAGCCGAACCUUCCUUCGGCGGCCGAACCUGGUUUUGCCCGCUGGGCAGAACCCUGCUCUGUUUCAUGCAAACCUUUUCUCCAAACUUACCCAACAUGCAUAUCAACUACUCCCAACUAGCACAUACCAUAAAACAUGCAUAAAAGGGCCUAAAACUCACUUAUAACCCCAAGAAACAUAUCAAACAACACUUAAACAUGCUUAAACACUAAAUCAUGCAAAACCUCAACCAAAACCCUAUUCAUGCAUACUAUCCAUCCAACUCNNNNNNNNNNNNNNNNNNNNNNNNNNNNNNNNNNNNNNNNNNNNNNNNNNNNNNNNNNNNNNNNNNNNNNNNNNNNNNNNNNNNNNNNNNNNNNNNNNNNNNNNNNNNNNNNNNNNNNNNNNNNNNNNNNNNNNNNNNNNNNNNNNNNNNNNNNNNNNNNNNNNNNNNNNNNNNNNNNNNNNNNNNNNNNNNNNNNNNNNNNNNNNNNNNNNNNNNNNNNNNNNNNNNNAUAUCAUCCUUCCACCGACUUGGCACCCUUUUAUAGGUGGCUGGCCAGACCACCUUCGGCGGCCAAACGUGAAUCCGAAACCAUGCAAGGUUCGGCGGCCGAAAGUCACCUUCGGCGGCCGAACUUGCCAUUUUCUCCCUUGGCUCUUUUCUUUCAAAAACUCAUUUUCCUUUAUACUUAAAACCGUAAAACAAGUCAAAAAUACAUAAGAAAACAUAUGGAUUACCCUUCUCGAGGGUUUCGACACCCGAGAUUCCACCAGACUACAGGAAUUCCGAGGCCGGACUCGAGCCGGGUAUUACAUUCUCCCCCCCUUAAGAACAUUCGUCCCCGAAUGUUCCUCAAACAACGAAACACAUAAACAUAGAGAAACGGGAAAAACCUAACCUUAAAACAGAUAUGGAUAUUGCUGGAGCAUCGACUCCCGUGUCUCCCAGGUGCACUCUUCGAGGUUGUGGUGGUUCCACAGGACUUUCACCAUUGGUAUCUCCUUGUUUCUCAGCUUUCUAAUCUGGGUGUCAAUGAUCUGCACUGGCUGUUCCACAUAAGUGAGAUCCCCAAGGAUCUCUACAUCCGGUUCACUGAGCACCUUACUUGGAUCCGACACAAACUUUCUCAACAUAGAAACAUGAAAUACCGGGUGAAUUCGUUCCAUGGAUGCAGGUAAAUCCAGCUUAUACGACACAGGCCCGAUCUUCUGCAAGAUCUCAAAGGGACCUAUGUACCGUGGAGCCAAUUUACCCUUCUUUCCAAAGCGAACCACUCCCUUCAUUGGAGACACCUUUAGCAAUACCAUAUCCCCCUCCUGGAACUCUAUCUGCUUCCUACGGAUGUCUGCAUAGCUUUUCUGCCUGCUUACAGCUAUUCUAAUCCUCUCUCUGAUCCUAGGCACUAACUUGCUGGUAAUCUCAACUAACUCUGGCCCUGCAAGAGCCUUCUCUCCUACCUCUUCCCAGCAAACAGGUGUUCUGCACUUCCUCCCAUACAGAGCUUCAUAAGGAGCCAUCCCUAUGCUAGCAUGAUGGCUGUUGUUGUAGGCAAACUCCACCAGAGGUAGAUGCUGCCUCCAAGAACCGCCAAAGUCUAACACACACAUUCUCAGCAUAUCUUCUAUGGUCUGGAUGGUCCUCUCUGACUGACCGUCUGUCUGUGGAUGGAAAGCAGUGCUGAAAUCCAAUCUUGUACCCAUAGCAGCUUGCAGACUCCGCCAAAACCUGGAGGUGAACUGCGGUCCUCUAUCUGAUACUAUCGACACUGGAACUCCAUGCAGCUUGACUAUCUCUUCUACAUAGACCUGCGCCAACUUGUCCACAGAAUAGUUGCUCCUGACUGGAAUGAAGUGAGCAGAUUUCGUCAGUCUGUCCACAAUCACCCAUAUGGAGUCUAGCCUGUUGGACGUCGCCGGUAACCCCACUACAAAAUCCAUAACUAUGUUCUCCCAUUUCCACUCUGGAAUCGGCAGUGGGUUAAGCAUUCCAGCCGGCUUCUAGUGUUCUAGCUUCACCCGUUGACAUGUCUCGCAAGCUGACACAAAAUGUGCCACUUCCUUCUUCAUAGCUGGCCACCAAUACACCCUUCUCAGAUCUUGAUACAUCUUGGUGGCUCCAGGGUGAACGCUAUACCUCGCACUAUGAGCUUCCCUCAUAAUGUCUUCCUUCAAACUGCUAUCAUCUGGUACACAUAAUCUCUUACCGUAACGAAGAAUUCCCUCACUGUCAAAUCUGAACUCUGCACUGUUACCAGACUGAACAGUCCUGGCAAUCUUCACUAACUCAGGAUCUUCGUGCUGUUUCAGAGCCACUUGCUCUAGAAACACAGGUGUAACUCUCAUCUGUGCAAUCAAUGCACCUGUACCAGAUAACUGCAACUGUAGCCCUUCAUCCAUGAGUCUAUAAAAGUCCUUCACCACCGGUCUUCUCUCUACUGCAAUGUGGGAUAAACUGCCAAGUGACUUUCGGCUUAAGGCAUCAGCUACAAUAUUAGCCUUACCCGGAUGAUACUGGAUCUUACAAUCGUAAUCAUUGAGCAAUUCUACCCACCGUCUCUGCCUCAAGUUUAACUCUCUCUGACUCAAGAUGUGCUGCAGGCUCUUAUGAUCCGUAUAGAUCUCACACUUUACCCCAUAGAGGUAAUGCCUCCACAUCUUAAGUGCAAAGAUAACAGCUGCCAUCUCAAGAUCGUGUGUCGGGUAGUUCAGCUCGUGCCUCUUCAGCUGUCUAGAAGCAUAAGCUAUCACUCUGUCAUUCUGCAUUAACACACAACCUAAUCCCACUCGGGAUGCAUCACAGAACACUGUGAAAUCAUCAUCACUGAUCGGCAGAGCUAACACCGGUGCUGAAGUCAACCGUCUCUUCAACUCUUCAAAACUCUCAUCACAAUCCUCUGACCAUACGAACUUCUGAUUCUUCCUGGUCAGUCUGGUCAUAGGAGCAGCUAUCUUCGAAAAGUCCUAAACGAACCUCCAAUAGUAGCCUGCCAAACCUAGAAAACUCUUGAUCUCUGUCACUGUCGUGGGUGUAGGCCAAUUGGCUACUACCUCUACCUUCUUGGGAUCUACUGUGAUUCCUUCCUCUGAUACUACAUGUCCCAAAAAGGCAAUGCUCCUUAGCCAGAACUCGCACUUGGAGAACUUGGCAUACAAGCCAUGCUCUCUCAAAGUUUGCAAAACUACCCUCAGAUGCUGGGCAUACUCCUCCGCAUUCCUGGAGUACACCAAGAUAUCAUCUAUAAAGACGAUCACAAAACGAUCCAAGUACUCCCUGAAAACCCUGUUCAUGAGAUCCAUAAAUGCUGCAGGGGCAUUAGUCAACCCGAACGGCAUCACUAGGAACUCAUAAUGCCCAUAUCUGGUUCUGAAAGCAGUCUUGGAUACAUCUCCUUCCCUGAUCUUCAACUGGUGGUAUCCGGAUCUCAGAUCUAUCUUAGAAAAACAACCUGCUCCUGCCAGCUGGUCGAAUAGAUCAUCGAUCCUGGGUAAAGGAUACUUGUUUUUGAUAGUGACUUUGUUCAACUGUCUGUAGUCGACACAAAGUCUAAGUGGUCCAUCCUUCUUUCUGACCUUCCUAUACCCAUACGUACAUCUCUACUCUGAUCCUCCUCCAUAGCAACUCUCUCUUCUUCUGAUCUUCCCCCUCUGCCUAUUCCUCUUCUGCUCUCGUCAGAAGACCUUCUAGGGUCUCUUGACGUUCCCUCCCUGCUUGACCUGUGAGUCCUUGCCCUUGGCAAUGCAGGAGGACGAGCAGCUGUACCCUCACUUUUAGGUGGGACUCCAGUCAAUCUCGCGGAUCGACGAGUUCCUCGCAUCUUAACUCUCUCUGGAAAACAACACAUAACAAAGCACAUAAGCAACACAUAAAAAAAAUGCACAUGCAUCAUGGCAUUGCACCUCAGCAGAUAGACAGGACUAACAUCCUAUCCUAGUGGACAUGUUUUCCUAUUGUGCUUGACCCACUAAACCUCUAUGAGCCCAACUCUAUCUAUCUAGGUCCGACCAUGUGAACCUAGGGCUCUGAUACCAAUCUGUAAUAGCCCGGAAACCGAACUGCUACCGGCACUAUGAUCCAGAUCGACUUAAGGUCGCUGGGACCCGUAGUAAGCCUGCUAUACUGUCUGUGUACCUGUGAAAUCCCAUACAUGAGCAUACAUUUUCUGUCAAACCAUUCAAACUUUUCUUUCCUCCAGGGCUUAACAUGUGCAUGCACUAUUUCUGAUCUAUCAACUCAUAAUGUUAAGCCUGGUUUUCUCAUAUGCAUAACAAUAAAAGAAAACAUACAUAAAAUGAUCAUGUGUAUACCAAAAGGGGAUUACAACUCUUAUAAGUCAAGCACAAAGCUACACACUAUACAUUAUCUCUUUACAUGUACAUGUCCACACUAGCUAUUACAUAACUCUUCUUCUUGCAAACCCUGCUGGACUCCCUCUGGACUCUGAACCUGCAAACCUGGGGGAUAGGGGAGAGGGAUGAGCUAUACAAGCCCAAUGAGCAGAACUCUAAACCGGAAUUUUAAAACAUGAUCUCAUGGAAUGCACUACAUCACAUCAUCUCAGAGAUAGACAUGACCGCCAAAAAUCCCACUGAAAGGAUGCCUGGCCUAGCCAGGUCUUACAACCUCAAUCUGCCUGGCCCGGCCAGGUCUUACAACUCUGCCUGCCUGGCCCAGCCAGGUCUUACUAUCUCUGCUGCCUGAUCUAGUCAGGUCUUACCUACAGAUGGCUGCUUGGCCCGGCCAGGUCUUAUAACAGAGUUUGGGCUAUUGGAGUCGCCUUGGUCUAUCCACAGCCUCAUAUACAUCGUAUUAUGCAAUGCGUCAUCUUCGUGAAACUAAUGCAAACAUCCUACUAUAAUCUUAUGAUGCAUGACAUAUGCUCAAAGCAGUUUAGUUCUGAAAAGAGAAGUUCCACUCACCUCUGGCUGACUCUGUACUCACUCUGCAGGUUCUGAAACAAUGCUCACUGCUGCUCUCUGGGGUUCCUCUGGUCCGUACCUACACAGGUGGACUCAAAUGAGGGACCAAGAAACUCCCCAAAAACCCUCUACAAGAUCCCCAAACAAUCACAUAAAACAUGCAAAAGAAAGCUGGACAGGGCACUUUCGGCGGCAAGUUCGGCGGCUGAAACCCCUCUCCAGAGACGAAACUCAUGCAUGUUCGGCGGCACCUUCGGCGGCCGAAGGUCUCGUCCAGAGACGAAACUCGCACACUUUCGGCGGCCGAACUCCCUCUUUUCUAAACCGAAAGCCUAGCUUUCGGGGGCAAGCUUUGGCAGCCGAAACUGCCUCCAUAAGGGGUUCGGCGGCCGAACCUUCCUUCGGCGGCCGAACCUGGUUUUGCCCGCUGGGCAGAACCCUGCUCUGUUUCAUGCAAACCUUUCCCCCAAACUUACCCAACAUGCAUAUCAACUACUCCCAACUAGCACAUACCAUAAAACAUGCAUAAAAGGGCCUAAAACUCACUUAUAACCCCAAGAAACAUAUCAAACAACACUUAAACAUGCUUAAACACUAAAUCAUGCAAAACCUCAACCAAAACCCUAUUCAUGCAUACUAUCCAUCCAACUCCCAGAAGACCUUCAAAAAUCAGUAAAAGAGGUUCUGGAUCUUGACUUACCUCUUCCAAACAAGAGAUCAAGUGAUCCUAACGUGGAGAUAUGGAGAAAUCUCCUCACAACUCUCCAAACUUCAAAACUUGGUUCUUUUGCUCAAAACUCUCAAAACCUUCAAAAACACAUGAAAACUCUUCAAAACCUUACACGAUUUGAGCAAGAUCAUGAAAGUCAACUAGGGAGGGUGUUGGACUCACCUCUGGCUGAAGAUGGAAGCAAAAUAUCAUCUUUCCACCGACUUGGCACCCUUUUAUAGGUGGCUGGCCAGACCACCUUCGGCGGCCAAACGUGAAUCCGAAACCAUGUAAGGUUCGGCGGCCGAAAGUCACCUUCGGCGGCCGAACUUGCCAUUUUCUCCCUUGGCUCUUUUCUUUCAAAAACUCAUUUUCCUUUAUACUUAAAACCGUAAAACAAGUCAAAAAUACAUAAGAAAACAUAUGGAUUACCCUUCUCGAGGGUUCCGACACCCGAGAUUCCACCAGACUACAAGAAUUCCAAGGCCGGACUCGAGCCGGGUAUUACAUUUAUAUAAUAACAUAAAUUAUUAAUUAAAAUUUAAAAUAUGAAAAAAUAUAAAAUUUUACAAUUAAAAAUAUAUAAUAUUUUAUUUAAAAUAUUAUUAAUAGAAGUAAAAUUUUUCAAAUAUAAAAAAUAUACAGUUAAUUUAUAAAUAUUAAGUAUAAGCAUUCAAUGAAAUAUUUUAAUAUAUAUUUUUUAUAUUUAAUAUUUAAUAUAAUAUGAAUUUAUUUGAAAUAAAUAUUUAUAAUAAAUUUAAUAUUACAUAUAAUAAAUAUAAGAUAUAUUUAAUUUUAAUAUAAAAUUUAAAUUAAAAAAUUAUAUAUUUUAUUAAUAAUAUAAAAUUUUAAGAACUUUAUUGUAAUUUAUCAUUAAUUUUUUUAAAUUUAAUUUAAUCUAUAAUUAUAAUAAAUUAAAAAAUUUUAGUUUUAUUAUAUAAAAUUUAAAAUAUUAAAUAUAAAUAUAAAUUAUAGUAAAUAUUUAAUUUUUUUUAUUCAGUGCUCUAAAUAAAAAUAUAUAUUAAAAUUAGGUCGUGUGAAGGUGACAGCUUAACGACCACUCUUGUUCUUGAUGGCCAGCCAGCUCAAUCACCUUAUCAAGCUUUAUUUGUGGAGAAUGCUCUUCAUAUAGUCCAUUUCCUUGUUUACACAAAGGCAAAUGGAAAAUAUUUGGGACUUUUUAAGAAAUUGAUUAAUAAUUGCAAUUUUUAAGAAAUUUCUCCGUAUAUUUUAAGAAAUUGAUUAAUAAUUGCAAUUUUAAGAAAUUUGUGACUUUUUCCAUAAAGUGUUGGGUACAGAAUUAUUGCGUGAUUUUCACGGCAGAGGCUCCUUCGUGCGAAAUACCAAUUCAGAAUGUGAGAUUCCCGGCCAACUCAUUGUCCUUAUGCUAGGAUUUCGACGGGAACGUGCGCAUUUAUUUUUUUGAAAAUGGAUCGGGAGAAGGAAAGGUCGAGACAACGCCCGCAGGAGAGUAAAAGUCAGGGAAAAGAACGCUGCUUAAGGUCAUUGUCACUUCGGAUUUCACUAUUUGUCUUGCUGUUUUAUGGUUUUUUAUUUUUUUUAUUUUUGAUUUUGCAUUUGAGUCUCUCUUUAUUUUCAAUUAAGAGAGAUUUUUCCAUCCUCUUUUAUCUCUCCCUCGUUGUAAAAGGCUGAUGUGAGUUUGUUGUUUUGUUUUUGUUUGUUUCGUUUUAAUUUAUUUUAUUUUUUAACUUUUGGUGUCAUUAGAGAUUAAUAGUUUUUAUUAGAUUUGAUUUUUGAAGAGUUUGACAAUUCUAUUCUGAAAAUUAGAGAUAUUUUCUUUCAAUUUGAUGCUGACAAUUUGGGAUUAUACUAAUAUCUCUGGAGGUUCACGCUCUUUUAAACUUUUAAGCUGACAAUCGACUGAUUUUGCAAUAUCAUUUCCUUGUUGGUUUCGUUUUAUCUUGUGUCGUUUUUGUGAAUUCUCUUGUAAGCUUCCUUAUUUUAUUUGGCAUGCAUGGUUACUAUUUUCUUGUUGUUGUCCUCUGGUUGAUUACUAGCAAGGUUGAAUAGCAUGUUUUUGCUUAUCUAGUAGACAUCAGUGUUGCUAGUUGGUUAUGGUGGUGAGGAGUGUUUUGACAAAAUCAUAUAUUGCUUUUGGGUUGUGAAUUGUUGCAAGGCGUUCGAAUAGAAGCACAGAGAGAGAGAGAAAAAGGAAUUUGAAAUCUUUAUUUCUGAAAAAAUAGAGAGAAAAUUACAUUGUCUGGAAGUUUCGCUUCCUUAUAUAUCCAAACAUGAACACGUGACCAACACGUGAAAUCAUAAAAGACAAACAAGCUACAGAAUGCAUAAAAAAAGGAAAAUUUCAUGUCUUAGGCAAGCCAAUUUGUACAUCACUAAAACAAUGCGUAUUAAUCAAAACGAUGCAGCUUUAUAACUCAACACUCCCUACUCAAGUUGAAGUUGGUAGAGGCAGAAGAUUCAACUUGUGGGCCAUAAGAUUAUGACGGCUUGCUGGGAGUGCCUUAGUGAGGAUGUCAGCCAAUUGCUCUUAGGUAGGAAGAUAUCUCGGAGAAAUAAAGCCUCGUUGAAGUUAAUUUCGCACAAGAUGGCAGUCAAUCUCAAUAACACUGGGUAAGCAGCAAUGUGCAUGGCUGCUUUGCUGUCACAGUGUAGCAAUUUGGGCAGUUUAAUGAGUACCUGCAAAUCCUGCAAAAUGUAACUAAUCCAAAGAAGUUCACACACAGUAUUAGCCAUGGCACGGUAUUCAGCUUUAGCGGAAGACUUGGAAACAAUAGUCUGUUUCUUUGUUUUUCAAGAGAUGAGACAAGGUCCCAAAUAUAUACAAUACCCAUAUAGAGACUUACGGGAAUAAGUACAAGUUGCCCAGUCAGAAUCACAAUAGGCACUAAGAGAUAGGUCAUCAAUCACAGGAAAGUGAAGACUCUGGUGCAAGGAUCCCUUAAGGUAGCGAAGGACAUGAAGAGCAGCUUCCAAUGGGGCUUUCGGGGCUUACUCAUAAAUUAUCUUAGAUGCUGAACAUCAUAAUAAAUGUCUGGUCUUAUUGAGUUAAUGUAAAGGAGUCUACCAAGUAAUCUUCUGUACAUUUCAGGCUCAGAUAGGAGAUCCCUUGAGUUAGGGGUCAAAUGCAAGCCUUGAGGUAAGGGGGAAGAUGCAAGUUUGCAUUGAAGCAUGCCUGCAUCUUUGAGAACAUCACAAAUGAAUUUUGUUUGGCUGAUAAUAGUUGCAUGUGAAGAUCUUGCAAGUUCCAGCCCUAGAAAAUAUUUCAUUGGGCCCAAAUCUUUAAUGGUAAACUUUGAAUGUAGGGCCAUUUUGCAUUUAUUGAUAGCAUUAAUAAAAUUGCUAGUUAAUAUAACAUCAUCAACAUAUACCAGCAAGAUCAAAAGCACAAUGUCAGUAUGCUGUGUGAAAAGACAAUGGUCAUGAGAAGAUUGCUCAAAACCUAAAGUCUUAAGGAAGGCUGAAAAUUCAAUGUUCUAUUGCCUAGAGGCCUGUUUAAGGCCAUAUAGAGACCUUUGAAGCUGACAGACUUGACCAGGUUGGGCCUUGUAAUAGCCCUGGGGAGGUACCAUGUAUACCUCUUCAUCCAAAUGCCCAUAUAAGAAGGCAUUAUUGAUGUCCAGCUGAAAAAUGGGCAAUUAUUUUACGGUUGCCAAGGCAAUAAAAAUUCUCACUGUGGUAAGUUUUACCACAGGUGAAAAUCUAUCUUUGUAAUCCAACCCCUCAAUUUGGUUGUAACCUUUGGCAACCAACCGGGCUUUAUACCUAUCUACUUCCCCAUUAGGCUUGAACUUCACUUUAUAUACCCAUUUACAGCCUAUGGCCCUUUUGUUCUUAGGCAAACUGGUGAGGGUCCGGGUAUUGUUGUUUUCUAAGGUCUGAAGCUCUUGCUCCAUGGCCUCAACCCAGUGAGAAUCCUUGGAGGCCUGUGAGUAGGUGUAAGACUCGUGAGCCUUGUUAACAUUGCAAAUGUAGGACCUGUGUGAAGGACAGAAGGACAGUGAUGCUGUUUACAAAGGAUCUACAUAAUCCUGCAUCCAAAUGGGUGGUUGUCUAGUCCUUUAAGUCCUUCUAGGUGAAGGACAGACUUGAGGCUUAGUGUUAAUAUGGCUUUGCUCACUGGCCCAGGUUCUCGGGCAAUCAGGCUCUAUUAUAGAUAGGGGAAGCACAAGGCCCUCACUGUUAUCACUAUUGUGUUUGAAGGGGAAGAUAUCUUCAUGGAAGACGACAUCUUUACUAAUAAAAAGGCAAUUGUCAACAAUAUUGUAUAGUUUAUAGGCUUUAUGGGUGUUGGCAUAUCCUACCAUAACAACCUUAAUGGCUCUUUCUUGAAAUUUGUCCUUCCUAUUGCCCACUGUGGUGGUAUAGCAUAGGCAUUCAAACUUCCUAAGAUGGUAAUAAUGGGGUAAGGUUCCAUAGAGCCUUUCAUAGGGUGUAGUCUAGUUGAAUUGUUCCAUUGGCAUUCUAUUAAUAAGGUAAGUGGCUGUUAGAUUCUGUAACGACCCGAAAAUCGGACCGCUACCGGCGCUAGGAUCCGGGUCGACUUAAGGCCGCCGGGACCCGUAGCAAGCCUGACAUAUAACCUGUAAACCUGUAUAAUCCCAUACAUGAACGACAACAUGCAUAAAAAAAUUUUAAACUUUUCUUUUAUCAUCCAACUCAACCUGAACAUUCAUGAACAUAGUCAUAAUCAUGACCCCUCUGUGGGAUCUCAACAAUGCCCCAAAGAGCACUAUAACAUGAGAUGAGUUGGCUUACAUCUGUAUCAUCAAAUAUCUAAGAUCAUGNNNNNNNNNNNNNNNNNNNNNNNNNNNNNNNNNNNNNNNNNNNNNNNNNNNNNNNNNNNNNNNNNNNNNNNNNNNNNNNNNNNNNNNNNNNNNNNNNNNNNNNNNNNNNNNNNNNNNNNNNNNNNNNNNNNNNNNNNNNNNNNNNNNNNNNNNNNNNNNNNNNNNNNNNNNNNNNNNNNNNNNNNNNNNNNNNNNNNNNNNNNNNNNNNNNNNNNNNNNNNNNNNNNNNNNNNNNNNNNNNNNNNNNNNNNNNNNNNNNNNNNNNNNNNNNNNNNNNNNNNNNNNNNNNNNNNNNNNNNNNNNNNNNNNNNNNNNNNNNNNNNNNNNNNNNNNNNNNNNNNNNNNNNNNNNNNNNNNNNNNNNNNNNNNNNNNNNNNNNNNNNNNNNNNNNNNNNNNNNNNNNNNNNNNNNNNNNNNNNNNNNNNNNNNNNNNNNNNNNNNNNNNNNNNNNNNNNNNNNNNNNNNNNNNNNNNNNNNNNNNNNNNNNNNNNNNNNNNNNNNNNNNNNNNNNNNNNNNNNNNNNNNNNNNNNNNNNNNNNNNNNNNNNNNNNNNNNNNNNNNNNNNNNNNNNNNNNNNNNNNNNNNNNNNNNNNNNNNNNNNNNNNNNNNNNNNNNNNNNNNNNNNNNNNNNNNNNNNNNNNNNNNNNNNNNNNNNNNNNNNNNNNNNNNNNNNNNNNNNNNNNNNNNNNNNNNNNNNNNNNNNNNNNNNNNNNNNNNNNNNNNNNNNNNNNNNNNNNNNNNNNNNNNNNNNNNNNNNNNNNNNNNNNNNNNNNNNNNNNNNNNNNNNNNNNNNNNNNNNNNNNNNNNNNNNNNNNNNNNNNNNNNNNNNNNNNNNNNNNNNNNNNNNNNNNNNNNNNNNNNNNNNNNNNNNNNNNNNNNNNNNNNNNNNNNNNNNNNNNNNNNNNNNNNNNNNNNNNNNNNNNNNNNNNNNNNNNNNNNNNNNNNNNNNNNNNNNNNNNNNNNNNNNNNNNNNNNNNNNNNNNNNNNNNNNNNUUGGGCCAAAUCCACUUGGGGAAGGAUGCGUUUGUCGAGAACCCAAGGGGACAAAUCCUGCCUGGAACCCGUGAGGGUGAAGGGAUGUUAAGAGCUGCUCACGACGCCAGUGGAAAGCCCGAGGUGGCAAGAGGCCAGGCGAGGGAUAGCCCUGGGCCGUGAGUGGUAACAGUGCCGUGCGAGAAAGGGCCGGGCUGUUAUUUACAGUUGGCAAAGGAUCCAUUCUCAAGUUUUGGUCUCUAACUGAUCCAAAGACCUCAUUCAGGCCCAUUAAAAAUUGCAUAAACUUGUUACGAUUAGUUAUCUUAGCAAUGGCUCUGGACGCUCCACAUGUACAGGCAGGGAGAGUUUCCAUCGAGCCAAGCUUGUCCUAGAGUCUCUUUAGCUUAGUAAAGUAGACCGAGACUGAAGCAUUCUCUUGAGCUAUAGGGGAGAUUUUUCUGUGCAACUCAUGUACCAUGAGUCCAUUGCAUUCUCCAAAUCUCUUACUGAUCUCUAGCCAGAGAUCUCUGCCUGAGGCAGUGUAUACAAAUCCAUCCACCAGUUCUUUAGAGAUGGAAUUCAAGAUCCAAGAUGUGACCAUAAAAUCACAUCUCUUCCAUUGUUCAUAAUCCUUAGAUUUUUUACUAGGUGCCGAAACUAUUCCUUCGACAAACCCUAACUUCAUCUUGGCACCAAAGGCUAUUCUAACAGCCCUAUUCCAAGUUCGGAAGGUAAAUCCUACCAGAGGUGCAGUGACUAAAGUCAUACCUGGAUGAUCGAAAGAUUGGAAACUCAGAUGAUCUCCCAUUCCCUUGUCUUGGCUUUGUCCCUUUUCUGACGACGUACUCUGCUUUUGCUCUUUGCUACUAUUUUCCCAUUCUGUCAUUGCCAGAUCUAUCGAGGACACUCAGUAAAACUCUCAUGCAGGACAUAACACAUCGCCAUGAGCUAACCUUAGCUCUGAUACCAAGUUUGAACAAAAGUACUGAGAGAAAGAAAAAGGAAUUUGAAAUCUUUAUUUCUAAAAAAAAGGAAUUUGAAAUAUUUAUUUCUGAAAAACUAGAGAGAAGAUUACUUUGUCUGGAAGUUUUGCUUCUUUUUAUAUCCAGACAUGAACACGUGACCAACACGUAAAAUCAUAAAAGACACAAAAACUACAGAAGGCAUAAAAAAAGAAAGUUUCACGUAUCAAGUAAGCCAAUUUAUACAUCGCUAAAACAAUGCGUAUUAAUCAAAACGAUGCAGCUUUAUAACUCAACACAAGAGUAUUGCAAAUUUCUGAUUGUGGGCCUCUAGAUCUUUCUAGAUUGGAUUUGUGGGUUUUGUUGAUUUGAUAAUGGGCUGUUGUUGUAUUUUAAUUUAUUGAAUUGGACUCCCACCCUCUUAGUACUUUAAUUAACUAACUUUAGCCAUAAAAAUACAAGCUAUUGCAUUGUUAAAGAAAAAAAAAAAAAGAUUUGACUGUUCAAAAUUAUUGCUUUUUUUUUCUUUGGAAUUUAUGGCUCUUUUUAUAUUUCAUGAAAAAAAAAAUUAAAAUUCUCCAUAAACCAAUCUAAUUUAAAACUUUAAACUGGUAUAAUAAAUUUAAUAUAAUUAUCCAAAUUUUAAAUUUAUAUUAUAAAUUAAUCCAAAUUAAGCAUUUAAUUUAGAGAGAUUCUAUUCCACUUCGCGUGAUAUAUUUAGGUAAUAUAGUGUAUGAGUAAAUAAUAAUUAAAAGAUAAAAUGAUAUUAAAAAUUAAGAUUUUAUGCUUUUUUUCGAUUUAACAUAAAACGUAAUUAAAAGAUAUAGUUAAAUUACAUAGUAUUUUUUUUAUUUUAACUUGAUUUUUAAUAAAUGAUUUUAUUUAAAAAAAAGAUUUUUUUAGAUUUCUAAUAAUUUAAUGAUGAAAAAGAGUUAUUUUAUUAAAAAAUAUUUUUUAUAAAAAACAAUUGUUAUAAAAAAUAAAUUUUAAAUAUUUAUUAUUUUCUACACGGAGUAAUUUUAAAUAUAAAUUAAUUUUCAAAUAAAUGAAGGCAUAAUUAUAUUUUAAAAGUAUUCUUAAUUUUUUAUAAAUUAAAACAAAUAAUUCCAAAUUAAUCUUUUAGCUCAAAUAACUCUAAAAAAUCUUCUUUUAAUGCCAAAUAAGUUCAGCUUCUGGCAAAAACAUGAGCACGCGAAAUAAAUGCCUUUAAAUAGAGAGUCAGCAAUUUUUAUAAUAAAAUAUCUAUCGUAUUUGACACGUGGCACCAUACACAUCACUAAUUUUUUAUGUAUGUUUUUUUCAAAUCCAAACUAUUUAUUAUAUUAAUAAAAUUUUAUAAAAUAAAAAAAUAUUAUUUCAAAAACCAAAGAGGAUCAUUUUUAAUAAAUAUUUUAAUUAAAAUAUCAGCAUUUAGAUAACGAAUUCAUCUAAAAAAUAUUAAUUUUAGAGUCUAAUAAAUAUUUAUAAUUAUUUAAAAUUAAAUUAAGUUUAGAAAUAUCUACAUAUGAAGACUGAAAAAUUUGAACCACUUAUAAACAGUGCAUAAAAAUACAAUCAUUACAAAUUAAAAAUUUUAUCGCAACAAGUAAAUAGUAACGAAAAAUUAAAACUUCAAUAAUAAUUGACAAAGUUUUACACAAUAAAACUGUAUGCAAUAAAAUUUUAAAUUUAAAAUAAAAUUUCAUCAAUUUGAUGAAGUCAUAGGAUAUUAUCUAAAAUUGAAGAUGAUACACAAAUUUUAAAAGGAAUAAUUUCAGAAUUAUGACCAAUUUUUUCAUAUAUAUUUCCCGUUGUUUUUCAAUUUAAUUAUUUAUUAUAAUACUAUUAAUUUAAUAUACCAUUUUAAUAUAUGAAAAUAAUGCGCUUGAAACACUCAAUAAUUUCUCUUUAAAUAUAUAUUUUAAACUAUUAGUGUAAACGCUAUUCUAUUUUCUUAUAGUUGAACAAUUUAAAUGCUAUGAUUUGGAAGAAAUUUAUGCAGGAUCAUAAAUGAUUAAUUAGACUCUGUCAAAAAUUUUAAUUAAUAUUAUUUGACUAAGACGAUAUAAGAGAAAAUAUAAGUUAAAAGACAAACAGUUUUAUUGAAAUAUCUCAAAAAUUUGGAAAGUAUGUUUUUAAUAAUAAUGGAGAUUAUUUAUAAUAAAAAUAAAAUUCUAAUAUGUAAAAUUAUGAAAAUAUUUAAAAUAUCAAAAAAAAUAAUUAAAAUAUAAAAUUGACCUCGAUAGGAUUUUUAUAUCGAACUUUGUGACUAGGUCUAUGACCCUCAUUACGCUUUUGAAAGUUGUGCGUCUCGAAAUUUUUUUUCAAAAAAAUUAUCGUGGAUCUCUAUCAGACAUCGGCAACAAAAGUUAGGUCUCCAAAUCUGCAGUAAAAUUUAAAACUAAUUGCUUUCGGGUCACAAGAUAUUGAUAUAUUUAAUUAAUAAUUUUCCCUCCGAUACUUGUUAAGAUUCAAAAUCAUGACUUUAACUCUAAUAUCAAAAGUAAAAUCGAGCACUUAUUAUCAUAUUAAAGGUUUUGACUAUUAACAAAGAUACAAUUCUAAUUUUUUAUAGUAUAGAAGUCGAAGCGCCAUAUUUCGAAGGGAUUUAACAUUGAUCCAUCUGACCAAUACUAACCACGAGGACACAAUUAUAGCAAACUAAAAAUAACUUACUAAUUAAAGCAUAAUGCAAAGCACACUUAAAAUUCUUAAGGUUCUCAAAUGUACUGCUUUGCCAUGAGGCAAAGAGCAUUUUUCUUGUGGAUGGCAAGGCCUGGUACCACUUCCAUGUCCAAGUCUUCAUUGCUCAUUCCAAAAGGCAUCUCCCAAUCAAAUUUGUAAAGCAAAUUAGCAAGAGCUAACUUCACUGUUGGAAGUGCUAUACUUACACCAGGACACAUUCUUCUCCCACCUCCAAAUGGGAUUAGCUCAAAAUUUUGUCCUUUCAAGUCAACAGAACUGUUGAUGAAUCUCUCAGGACAGAACUCUUGUGCAUUUUCCCAAACUUGUGGGUCUCUUCCAAUUGCAUAUGCAUUCACAUAAACUGUAGUUUUUGCUGGGAUUUUGAACCCAUCUAAAUUGCAAUCCUCAGUUGUUUCUCUUGGGAUUAUGGGAAAUGCAGGUUGUAAUCUCAUUGUCUCUUUCACCACAGCUUUCAGAUAAGAUAGUUCUUGGAUUUCAUCUUCAUUUACAAAACCUUUGUUUCCAACUAAACCUCUGACUUCUUCUUGAGCUUUCUUCAUUUUUGUAGGAUUCUUCAUCAGGAAUGUCAUGGCCCAAAUCACAGUUGCUGCAUUAUUGUCUGUUGCUCCAAUAACUAUAUUCUGCAACAUUUGGAAAAAAAAUAAUAAAAAAAAGAAGAAAUGUAUUAUUUAAUGAACUCAAACAGUGUAUAAAAAUUUUUUUUCAUUAAAAAAUAAUAUAAUAAUAACCAUUAACACUGCUUUGAUGUGAUUAAAUGUGACUUUAAACUUGAGAGAAGUAUCAUUCCGGAGUUUAAGUAAGCCAUCAAGAAUAUCUUCUGAAUGAUCAUCAAGCUCUGAUCUAUCAUAAUCAAGGUGUUCUUGGAUAAUCUUGUCAUAGAAAAUGUCAAAUUCUUGGAAAUUUUUUUCCAAGCGAUGGAUCAAUCCAGUGAGUUUAUCAACAAAACCCAGGAGAGGAAAAUAGUCUGAAACGAAGAAGCUCGUGAAAAGGGUCUCAGCUUCUAUAUGUAAAGCUUGAAAUCUACUAUUUUCUUUCUUGUACCUCUGCCCAAAAGUAAUCUUACUGAUUAUAGUAUUUGCAAGAGACAUGAUAGCCUCAGUGAUAUCUACAGGUCGGGAAGCAGAAGCUAAACCGCAGAUCUCCCCAAGCAUAUGGGAAACUUCAGAUUCUCUAAUGGGACGGAAACUUCUGGCUCUAUUGGAGCUAAAGAGAUGAACUUUACAUAUUUUCUUCAUCUCUUUCCAAUAAGAACCAUAAGCUGCAAAGCCUAUGUCUAAGCCAUUGUAGGACAACUUCUGCUGGCUAUGCUUGGAAGGCCUGGCAGAAAAAAUGUGGUCAUGGGUUUUCAUUAUUUCUUUAGCCAUUUUGGCUGAGGAAACAACUAGAACUGGUUCAAAGCCCAUGCGCAAAGACAUUAGAGGUCCGUACUUCUGAGAAAGUUUCCAUAGAGAGAUAAAAGAGGCUGAGUUAUGAAGUUGAUGCAAGUUGCCUAUGAAGGGAAGAGCUCGAGGACCUGGUGGGAAAUGAGGAUCUGUUUUUGUUUUGCGAUUUCGGAGAAGAAACAAGAGGAAGCUUAGGACAACUAAUGCAAGGAAGACAAGUGAAACCAUUGUAGCUUGUGAACUCAAUAACGUCCCAAGAGUUUGACAAAAGCUUUUCCUAACACUAAUGGUUUGGUGUUUCUGUGUGCAUCUCCCACUGAUUUAUAAGGUUGAAAUUGGUUGAGUUAAUAAAUAGAACAGUCACUGUUAUGUCUUCUAUUGUUUUAAAAUAUAUUAAAAUAUUUUUUAGAUAUUAAAAAAUCUAUUAAUUGAUUAUUAUGUUAAUUUUAGCUUUCAACUAUUUUACUAUUUAUAAUUCGUGUAAUAUGAAAAAAUUUAUUAAUUUAUUAAAAUUAAUAAAAUUAUUAAAAUUUUAAUAUUGCAGAAAAAGAAAAAACAUGUUAAUUAAGAGUGCAAAUGGAUGACAUAGCAUAAUUAAGGGAAUAUUGCAUGCCUUCCAAAAAGAGGGGGACAAAAUUGUACCUUAUAUUCCAGUGCAUCAAAACCCUUGCAAAUGAACUCAAACAAAUAAAUAUUUAUAAUAAUUUAUAUUUAUAUGAAAUAUUUUAAAUUUUUUAUAAUAAAUUAAUUUUUUUAAAUUUAUCACAGUAUAACUAAGACUAUUGAAUUAAAUUUAUAUAAAUUAUCGAUAAAUUAUAAUUUGUUAACUAAUUUUUAAAUAAUGAACUUAGGUGACUAUUAUUUCUAAAAUUUAGAGUAAAAAUUUUAGAAAUAAAUUAAUAAAUUAAUUUAAAAUUUUUUCAAAUAAAUAUAUAAAAUAUUAAUUUAUACUUUUAAUUUUAUAAUAAUAUAUAUUAAAAAGGAGACUGAAAGGAAAGGGAAGGGAAGAGGCCAGGCGACAAUUUCUUUUUUCAAAUAUAAAUAAGUUAAAUUAAAUAUUUGUAAAAAAUUAAAUAAGUCUGAUAUAAUUUUUAGACAAAUAUAUAUAUACGCACUCACAGAUUUAAUUUGAUAAUAAAGUAUAUCUUAAUAAAUCUAAGAGAUCUCAUAAUUUUCAGUCUUUUAUUUCAAAUAUAUAUAUAUAUAUAUUUAUUUAAAAUUAAAUAAGUUCUCAUAUAAUAUAAUAUAUUUUUUAAUAAUAAAAUAUUAAUAAAAUUAUAAUCAAUAAUUUUAAAAUUACAAAAGUGAAAUUUUAUUAUAAAACAUAUUUAAAAAUAAUAUUAUAUUAAAUCUUACCUUAUUUUAAAUUUAAAAAAGUAUAAAGAUUUUAAUUCAACUUUUUUUCAUAUUAAAAUUAGCACGUGAGAAUUUUUUUUUGGUUCCAUAUUGCAUAAAGUGACAGCUUAACCACUGUCCACACUCUUCAAUGGAAGAUAACGGUUCCGACAUUUUAUCGUUUACAAUAGUCGAUAUUUCAUAUGAUUAAUAAUUUAUUAAUUAUUUUAUAUAUAUUUUUUAUAAAAUUAGCCAAUGAGACGUCUUUGUUGUUCCUUACUAUGCAAAGUAAUAAUUUAACUAUUAUUCAUACUUUGUAAAAGACAUUUUUGGGCCACAUAUAUAAUUAAUGCUAUUUCACGUUUUCCUCAAGAUCUCUGUCUGUUUGUACGUCUGAAUUAAUCUUAUCUUUCUUUGUGGCUCAAAAUCAUUUAAAAAAUAUCAUUUAAACAUGGUUGAAAAAAGGCAGUUUAAAAAAUUAUAUUAUUAUUUUAAUAUUUUUAUAAUUAAAUUAUGUUAAAAAAUAAUUUUAAAUAAUAUAUUAAAAAAAUUUUUUUUUUUUGAUAGCAGUUUUACCAAUAAUACUAACAAACCUUUAGUUGCCGUAAAUGGUGACUGAAACGAAAAAUAAAAUAAAAUGAUAAAAUUUGAGUUGUGUUAAAUAUUGUUAUUAAAAAUUUAUUUUGUAAUUUUUUAAAAUUAAAUAAAUUUUUUUAAAUUUUAAUUUUUAGGAUUAGAAUAAUAAAAUUUAUUUUUAAUUUAUAACCUAAUAGAAAAGAGAGAAAAUAGAGAAUAAAGUAAAAAAAUAGAAUUCGUUAUCUUUAUAAAAAUGGAGACUAUUUAUAGUGAAAAAAUCGACCGUUAUAUAUGAUUAUAAAAAUCUUGAGAUAAUAUAAUAAAAUCAUAAUAAUUAGAUUUAAUAUUAUAUUUAAAUCUCAUAAAUAAAAUAUUUAAUCACUAUAAAAUUUUCAAUAACCAUAAAAUUUUUAAUGGCCAUAAAAUCUUUUGAAAUCUAAACUAAUUUUACAACAAUCACCUACACAUUUCAAAAGAUUUUUUAUUGCUGGAUUUAAAAAUUUAGUGUAUAUGUUUCAAAUCUAGUGUCUUUUACAUUAUGAACCAAAUCUAGAUUAAUAAGACUUAACAUAUAGAGUAAUUGGUGAAACUUUUGUUUCUAUGAACCAAAAACUCUUUUUUUUGUAUGCUAAUAUUCUAUCAAUCUCAUAACACUCCAUAUAUCUUGUUGUCAAUGCUGUUUUGCGCUAAUAGACCAUGCGUGUGCAUAGUAGUUUAUAAGUGCUAUAGAGAUUAUACCACAAUCUCAUAGAAACAGCCCCACUCCACACUUAUAUAGGUGAUAUCAUCAAGUGUAUACUGCAAUUUAUACAAUACCCAUAAGGGAUAUGAAUAUCAUUAAGAGUUUUCAUCUCAUCCUCUCAUUAAUGCAGUCUAGCACUUCUUACACUAUAGGAAUGGACAAUAAUAAAUAGUGCUAUCAAAACUAAUAAGUGACUUGUUAUUAUCCAUAUAAAUCUUUUUCAUGGGAUCUCCAAUCACAAAAGUUGGGUUUCCAUCACUGUAAAUUUCAAAGUGGCUCAAGUCACAUUCCUCUCGAUGUUUCAUCUAUUAGUUUUCUCUCUACAGGUUUGGUCAGGGGAUCGGCCAAAUUCACUUCUGACUUCACAUAAUCAAUGAAAAUAUUUUCAUCUUUCAGCAGCUGCUUAAUAACAUUAUGUCUCAGACGAAUAUGUCUAUUCUUACCAUUGAAAGUUUUAUUUUUUGCAAUAGUUAUUGCCGCUUGGCAAUCACAACGCAUUGAUACAGAUGGUGUUUGUUUUAUUCCCAACGGAAUAUUUGCUAAGAAGUUUCUUAGCUACUCAGCUUCAGUUCCAACUAAUUCCAGUGCAAUAAAAUCUGACUCCAUUGUGGAUUUAGCAAUGAUAUUUUGUUUGGUUGAUUUCCAUGUAAUUGCACUAUCUCCUAGAGUGAAUAUAUAGCCACUAGUGAAUUUUAUCUUAUCUGAAUCUGAAAUCCAGUUAGUAUCACUAUAUCCUUCUAAUACAGAGGGAAAUCCACUAUAUAAAAUAUCAUAAUUUAUGGUAUCUCUCAAAUAUUUCAUUAGUCUAACUAGUGCAGCCCAAUAAUCGUUAUUGAGAUUAUGUUUAUACCUACUAAAUCUACAUAUACCAUAUAAUGAUCUAAGAAGUUUGUAGACUUUAUUUUUUUGAUCAGAAAUAAUACAACCAUCAGGUUGUACCAUAUAAAUUUUGUUUUCCAAGAGUCCAUUUAAAAAAACUGUUUUAACAUUUAUUUGAUGAAUAACAAGUUUAUGUAUAAAAGCUAAAACAAUUAAUACUCUAAUAGAAGAAAUUCUAACUAUAAGAGCAAAUGUGUCAAAAUAAUCUAUAUUUUAUUUUUGAGAAAAACCUUUUGCUACUAACCUUACUUUAUACUUUUCAAAUAACCCAUCUAGAUUAUAUUUUCUUUUGAAAAUCCAUUUACAACCAAUAGGUUUAGCUCCUUGAGGCAAGUCUACUAAAGUCCAAGUAACAUUUUGAGUAAUAGAAUCAAUUUCAGCUUUAAUUAUUUUUUUCCAAAAAGGAGCUUCAGAAAAUAAGUGUAAAAGUCAUUUCCAAAAGAAGUCUCUUUUUUUUUUUGUCUUUUACUUCUUCUUAAAUUUUCAUUAUUAUUUUCAAAAUGAUUUUCAUUAGGUGCAUGGGAAAUUUUCUCAACUUUUAAAGGAAAAAUAUGUCCAAAAAAAACUCAGCUUUUUUUAUCUCAAUUAUAGAGUUACAAUCAAGCACAUCACUUUUCAAAACAAGAAAUCUAUAUGCAGCACUAUGUUCAACAUAACCUAUAAACAUGCAAUCAAAAGUUUUUGAACCUAUUUUUUGUUUCUUAAGAUCAGGAAGAAUUAUUUUAGCAAGACACCCCACACUUUUAAAUAUUUUAAAUUAGGUGUAUAACUUUUCAAAGUUUAUAGGAUAUUUUAUCAGUUUUAUUAUAGGAUAUCCUAUUUUAUAGAUGACAAGCAGAUAAUAAAAUUUCCUCCAAAGGUUAUUAGGUGAGGAAGUACUUAUUAAUAAAACAUUCAUCAUUUCUUUUAAUGCUCUAUUUUUCCUUUCCGCUACUCAAUUAGAUUCAGGUGAAUAGGGUGGAGUAAAUUCAUGAAUUAUUCAUUCUUUUUCACAAAAGUCAUUAAAUAAGAAAUAUUCUCUACUUCUAUCUGAAUUAAUCCUUUUUAUUUUCUUAUUUAAUUGAUUUUCUACUUCAACUUUAUAUAAUUGAAACACAUCAAAUGUUUCAUCUUUGUUUCUAAACAAAUAUAUUUUAGUACAUCUAGAAUAGUUAUCAAUAAAAGUCACAUAAUAUUUUUUAGAAAAAAUUACUUUUUAGUCCUUGAGAUUUAACGUAAUUAACACUUCUUUCCCUCUAUUUUGGCGACCCAACACUUAAGUCCCUCACUUUCUCUUCCGUCCAAAUUCAUAGUCCUUCAGUCCAUUUAAGCCGUUUGGUCAAAGAGUCAAAGCUGAGAAGUGAUAAUUUUUUCCAAAAAUACCCUCUUUUCAACGUGAAAUCCCUAUCUUUCUUCUCUUUCAUAUCUUCUCCAUUUUCUUUUAUCCAUUGUUAAUUUUCCUCUUUUUUUUUUCUCUCUCUUUUUUUCAUCUUUCUUUCUCCCUCAUAUUUUCUCUAUUUCCUUUUGACAUCGUUGAUUUUUUUUUUCUCUUUUUCAUCUUUUUUCUCCCUUAUAUUUUCUCUAUUUCUUUUUGAUAUUGUUGNNNNNNNNNNNNNNNNNNNNNNNNNNNNNNNNNNNNNNNNNNNNNNNNUUUUUCUUUUUUUUUUUUUCUCUUUUCCAUCUUUCUUCUCCCUGAAGCAUUAUUUGAGAGUUGCAAAAAGGGUAGGAGUUAUGGUGAAGAAUCUACAGUGAAGAGACAUUGAGUUUGGGUUUCAUGAUUUUGAAAUAGCCGGACUUUUAGUUAAGGAUUUUGAAAUAGUGAGACUUUUAGUGAGGGUUAAUUUUGUCAAUUCACGUAUCCCAAACGGCUACUUUGGACGGAAGGACUACGAAUUUGGACAGAAGAGAAAGUGAGAGACUUAAGUGUUGGGUCGCCAAAAUAGAGGGACAGAAGUAUUAAUUACGUUAAACCUCAGGGACUAAAAAGUAAUUUUCUCUAUUUUUUACCACCUCUAGUCAUAAUUUGUUUUAAAUCCCUUAAGUCUGUGUGUAUUAAACUAAGCAAUUCAGAUUCUCUAUGUGUAGUUGAAUAUGAUUUUUUUUGUUGACUUAGAUUCUACACAAAUCUCACAUUUAUUUAAAUAUGUAUUACCCGUGCCAUAUAUUAUACCAAAAUAUUGUAUUUUUUUUAAUAUAAGAAGCACUAACAUAUCCUAAUCUAGCAUGCCAUAAAUCAAAAGAAUCAAGCAAUAAAGUACAAGAAGAUACAUUUCCAUUUGUUAUUGUAGAAAUAUUGAGAAUAAAAAGUCUCUGAUUACAAUAACCUUUUCCAAUAAAAAUAUCAUUUUUAGUCAGUAUAAUUUUGUCUAACCCAAAAGACAUCUUAAUCUCAACCUUUCCCAAUAGAGCUAUAGAAAUUAAAUUACCUCUUAUAUUAGGUACAUGAAAUAUCUCAUUAAGUGUCAAGGUCUUGCCAGAUGUGAGUUUGAUAAGAACUUUCCCUUUACCAAGGACAUUAGUAGUCCUAGAAUUACCCAAGUACAUAUGUUCUUCUCCUUCUUCCACUAUAGAGUAAGAGGUAAACGCAUUUCUGUUUGUACAAAUAUACCUAGUCGCACCAAAAUCUACUACCCAUUAUUGCACAUUAACUACAAGAAAAGUUUGAGGAAUGACCGCAGCAAUAAUUUCAUCUCUUUCAACUAAAUUCACUUUUGGUUUAGAAGGAUUGUCAUUUAUCACUCUUUUCCUGCACUGGAUGCAUUAUGACCCGACUUACCACAUACAAGACAAUAUAUUUUCUUUUUAAAGAUGGAAUUAUUAAAUUUAGAUUGGUAAUCAGGUUUCUUAUUUUCGUACAUGUUAUUUCAUUUGUGCACUUUUCCUCGUAUAAGGUUUGCUCUUGUAGCUAGCUCUUUACCUUUUGCAGUUUUAAGUUCCCUCCUGUUUGUAUUUUUAAUCUUCGAGAUGUCAGAAAAAGAUUUGGCGUAUAGAGCAGUAGACAGUGCAAAAGCAGAGACAGUGAUAACAUUUGGUUUCAUUUGUGUAAAGAUAAGUCCUUAAAAUUGUUGAAAAAAUAAAAUAAAAUAAUAAAAUCUGAGUCGUGUUGAACACUGUACUUAAUGAUUUAUUUUAUAAUCCAUCAAGUUUAAAUAUAUUCUUAUGAAAUUUAAAUUUUAGAAUUAGUAUAAUAAGAAUUUAUCUCUAAUUUAUAAUCCAAUAUAAAAUAUAAAGAAUAAAAAAUAAUAUAGAAAAAUAGAAUUUGUUAUUUUUUAAAAAUAAAAGAAAUAGUGAAAAAACCGUUAUAUAUGAUUAUAAAAAUUUUGAAAUAAUAUAAUAAAAUCAUAAUGAAGAAAUUUAAUAUUAUAUUUAAAUUUUAUAAAUAAAAUAUUUAAUAAUCAUAAAAUUUGCACCCAUUAUAAUUAUAAAAUUUUUAAUAAUUAUAAAAUUUUUUAAAAUUUAAACUAAUUUUAUAACAUUUUCAUGGGAGUGCUAGGUAGAGAAUUAAACACCGCGACUCAUGGGUCCAAGCAUUUCUUUUUUUCUUUUUGUUUUUGUUUUGACAUGAUGAUUAGGUAGCUACCGACGCAAUGUUGACAAUUAAUUAAACAGCAGGCCAACUUAAUAAUGUUUGUUAUUAUGGGAUAAUUAUUAAAAUAAUAUUUUUUUCAAAAAUUAUUUAUAUGAAAAUAAUUUAUAAAAGUAAUGUUUGCUCUAGAAAAUAUUAAUUAAUUUAGCAUUUUUAAAAAACAUUGAAAACGCUAAUGAAGUUAUACUCAUGAAAACGCCAAUGAAUGGUAAAUGAAAAUGGCAGCGAUGUCAGAUAUUCUGUGAGAAAUGAUUUUGUUGAAAAAUUAUUAUUAAAUCUUUAUAUAUUACUAAAACUAAUUGAAUAAUUUUUAUUAUAAAAAUAAAAAUAAAGCUUCAACAUUCAUAUUUAUAUUUUUAAAUUCAUGUAAUUUUAAUUAUUUAUAUUAUUUAGUUGAUAUAAUUUUAAUAAUUUAUAUUAUUUAUUAAUUUUGAUCAAAUUUAAUAGAUUUAAAUUAUUAAAUAUAUAAUUAUAUAAAAUUAAUUAUAGUUUUUUCAACUAUAAUUAUAUUAAAUUUAAACUGUAUUGAAAAUUAAUUAUAAUCCUUUAAAAAAUUAAAACGUAUUGAAAAAUUAAUUUUAUAUAAUUAUAUAAAAUUAAUUAUAAUUCUCUGAUCAGUAAUUAUGCUAAACUAAAACUAUAUUCAAAAAUAAUUUUAUGUAAUUAUAUAAAAUUAUUUAUAAUUAUUCUGUAAUUGUACUAAAUUAAAACUGUAUCAAACAUUAAUUUUAUAUAAAUAUAUAAAAUUAAUUAUAGUUAUUUAAAUGGUAAUUAUAUUAAACUGAAAUAAUAUCAAAAAAUUAAUAUUAUAUAAUUAUAUAAAACUAAUUAUUGUUAUCCUACUUGUAAUUGUACUAAAUUAGAUUCAUUUCAAAAAAUUAAUUUUAUCUAAUUAUAUAAAAUUAAUUAUAGUUCUCUAAACCGUAAUCGUAUUAAUUAAGAACCGGAUCAAAAAUCAAUUUUAUACAAUUAUAUAAAAUUAACUAUAAUUCUCUAAUCUAUAAAUGUACGAACCAAAAUAGUAUUAAAAAUUAAUUUUAUAUAAUUAUAUUUUCUGAACUGUAAUUAUACUAAACUGGAACGAUAUCAAAAAAUUAAUUUUAUAUAAAUUAUAAAAUUAAUUAUAGUUCUCAUUGUUGUAAUUAUAAUAAAUUAAAACCAUACUUUAAAAUUUAAUUUUAUACAAUUAUAUAGAAUUAUUUAUAGUGUUUUUUAAAGUAAAACUACUAAUUGUAUCGUCAAACAGAGAGACGACCAUACCUAAUAAAUUCUCUAACUAAAAUAUGAGCAGUUAAAAUAGCAUGACGACCCAUCUACCAGAAAUAUUUCAGAAACCCACAAUAACUAGUAAAUUUCCAUUCAACAUUACCUUCCGAAAUAACCAAAUCAAUAAAAUUUAAAGAAAAGUCAACCAUAGAAACAAACAUAUGACUCUUCCAUAUUAACGAAAUGUCUCCUCCUAAUUUUUGUCUAUUGACUGAGAAACAACCAUCAAAAUAUAAAAGAUUACAAAAAAAUUCCAUCGAUAACUAAGAGCUUUUGUUUCCAUUAAAAAUAAAAUGUCCGAUUUAUAUCUACUAACCAAAUCCUUUAAUACAUUAACUGUCCGGAAAUUACCGACUUCUCGACAGUUUCAACACAAGACGAUACGAUCAUUGUUUUCGGCUAUCCUGAUCUUUGACGGGAUAAAUAGCUUUGAUAAUGCCUAUUCGAAAUGCGAAUCAUAGUGUUCAUUCUUAUGAAAAUAGAAAUGAAAAGUAAGAUACUUUUUCUCGAAAUAUGGACAAAUGAAAGUUUAACUCCUAAAGAAGCACUUCACGAAACCUCCCAGUAAUUUGAUUUAUUUUUUUAUUCUUUUUCUACAUGCAGAAAAAAAAAAUCUUACAUUUAAAAAUAGAAAAAAAUCAACACAAGGUUACUUUACCCUUUUUUAUUUUCAUGAUAAAUUAAUUAAAUUAAGAAAAAAUUAAAAAAAAUAGUAUUGAAAUACAUUUUUAUUAUGAAAAAUUUAGAUUUAAAAAAGAAAAUACAAGAGACUCGAUUUACAAAGAAACCAUAGAGAAAAUUUUAAAUUAAAAUUAUUUAUAGUUUAAAAAUUAUACUAAAUUAAAAUUGUAUAAAAAGUUAAUUUUAUACAAUUAUAUAAAAUUAAUUAUAUUUUUUCUAAUUUAUUAAAUUAGAAUCAUAUUAAAAAAUUAAUUUUAUAUAAUUAUAUAAAAUUAAUUAUAAUUCUGAAUUGUAAUUAUACUAAACUGAAAUUGUAUAGAAAAAAUUAAAUUUACACAAUUAUAUAAAAUUAAUUAUAAUUUUUCAGACGGUAAUUAUACUAAAUUGGAACUGUAUGAAAAAUUAAUUAAAUAUAAUUCUUUUAACUGUAGUUGUACUAAACUGGAAUCAUAUUAAAAAAAAUAAUUUUAUAUAAUUAUAUAUUUAAUAAUUUAAAUCUAUUGAUUUUGUAAUUGUAUCAAACUGGAAUCAUAUUAAAAAUUAAUUUUAUAUAAUUAUAUAUUUAAUAAUUUAAAUCUAAUGAAUUUAAUUAAAAUUAAUAAAUAAUAUAAAUAAUUAAAAUUACGAGCUUAAUGAAAAAUUUUAAUUUUAUAAAAUAUUUAAAAUUUUGAUUGAUAUUUUAAUAAAUAAGAAAUAACCAAUUAAUUUUAGUGAUACAUAAGGACUUAAUAAUAAUUUUUGGACAAAAUCAUUCUAUCAAUAAACGGCUGAUUCUCAUUGCCACUGAAAAUAUCAACUAGUUAGUCAACUAUCUAAUUAAUAAUUUUUGGACUUAAAUUUCUCUAUCCAUCUGAAUUAGGGUUUUCUAUCUAUAGUUUCGUUAGUCAACUAGUUAAAAAAGAGAAUAAAUAUUUCAAACACUUAAAACACUUCUAUGAACACUUAAAUUCUUUAUAUUGUAUAAAUUACACUUUGAUCCUAAACUUAACGAACUAGACUUCCUAAACUCAAGUAGUGAGUCAAACAUGCUUUUGAGAAAUGAAAACAAAUAACAUGGUUGGAAAUGGACAUACGAGCAAUCAGCUCUCACUGGGAGGCUGAUUGUUUCAUGUGAAAAAUGACUCCAAAGUGCAAAUCAAUAACAUACCCAUUCACAGUAGAUUAAAGGAAGACCAGGUAAGGACCCAGCAGGGACUUCACAACUGGCAAUGGAAUGGCAGCAGCUUCAUCAACCACCAGUAGUUCCACUUGGGAGAGCUUUUGAUGUUCAUGUGGCUGUAUAUACUGUAUAAAAAAAAACAACACAAAAAUAUAAGCAAUUAAACACGUGUGGAGAUAUGCUCGUUAAAACAGAACAGGUAUACACAUAAAAUAUUUAUUAAAAAGAACAGAACAAGAAGAAAAGUUCUCUUAACAAAAAAGCUGAACAAAAUCCGGAUAUUCAUAGCACAAAACAUAGAUGGUUAGAAAUAGAUGUUAUUUCCUGCAAGGUAUGCUAAAUGGUAUUUCCUUCAAAGGAAAAUUUUAACUGUUAUUUCCUCAAAAAAGAAAGCUAAAGAUUAUAGCUUUUUCACUGAACUUAUAAGCUGAGCUAACUGCAUUGUCAGCCCACAGGACUGCAAAUGGGCUCCAUUUCUUCAUCAAUCAUAAAACAUGUGAACAUGUCAGAUCACAGAAUAAUGAUUACAUGGUCAACUGAUAUGCUAUCACAAUGUUAUGAAAUUCAUGAAGUAUAUUGCUUAAUUUACAUAUGUUGAAGAAGAAGGAAACACGGUUAUAAUAUAUCGCUGGUUUUAGACCACAUCAAAUAGAAAAGUGCAACUGUAAAAAUUGCAGAAAAGAAAAAGCAUGUUAAUUAGAGUGUAAAUGGAUGACAUAGUAUAAUUAAGGGAAUAUUGCAUGCCUUCCAAAAAGAGAGGGAGAAAAUUGUACCUUAUAUUCAAGUGCAUCAAAACCCUUGCAAAUGAACUCAAACAAAGUUUCAAAUUUUCAGGGCUUGGUGCAGUUACAAAUAUAUUUGAAUACCUAUAAAGGUGAUUUUUCUCAUUAGAAUAAUAGUAAAGAGAAGCGUAAUUUUUAAAAAUAAAAGUAAAAAGAAGAAAGAAUUAACAGACACUCGCAUGCAUACAUGAAGUAUGAAAAGUAUAGAAUUUAACAAUUUCAUUAUCCUGCUGCUAUGGCUCCAGCAACUGCUUAACCAAGUGCAGCAGAUUUUCCACGGCCACGAGCAGCAAGCAAAGCAAGGGUACUACGUAGUGUCUUAUCCAAAAUUGCAUCAAGAAAUGUGAUGACAGCUUUUCCCUGUUCAAAGAUAAAAAGUUUUUAUGUGCCAUUGACACCAUUUUAAGUCCCAGUCACAUCAGUUUAAAAUAGAGAGAGAGUGUGUGAACAAAAAUCUAGAUACUUGCCAAGGCUCUACCUGAUCUAGUGUGCAACACUUUUUUUAUCAAAGGACCAACAGGAAAAUCAUCAUGCAAUUGUUCUUUCAAAUUCUUCAGGUCUCGUUCUGCUUCUGAAAGACCUUCUGCGUCCUUCAAUCCAGGGGGAAAAAAUAAGUAUGCAAAGUUGAAUACUUUAUACAUCAACUAAAGAUAUCAACUAAUCAUAAUAAGAAAAUCUCACUAGAAAAGGUUAGACAAUACGAAGCUUCACUUAAAUUCUUGGCCAUGAUAGUAUAAUAAAGGAGAAAAUUGCAAUUCACAAUAAACAAUGAAAGAAUACACAAUGAAAGGAUUUUGAAAAAUUUCCACAUCACUAACUGCAUGUCUGUAAUUCUAAAAUUGACAAAAAGAAUUGUUACCUCUUUAACUGGAACUGGAGUAAUUGACCUUAUAUGAGAUGAAAUUGGUAAAGCAUUAAGUUCAUCAUCCAUAACCACACAAGCUUUGCAUGAAGCAAGUGAUAGUAGGAAUCGCUCGUUGAAGCGCCCAGCAGCCUCAGAGUGAGAUUCAGUACGAAACCUCUCUUGGAAAUCCUGCAAUAAGCAAACUUCUAGUAAAGAUUUACGCUUAUUGUUCAAGUAAGUACUUGUUAGCAGAGAUUCACACAUAAAGAAAGAAAAAUAUUGAAAUGCAAGACUGCUAAACAUGGCAGUUGAGAAAUUCUUGUUUUUUUUGCAACAUGAUUGAGUUGCUGCCAAGGUUGUGGAUUGAGUCUGCCAUAUUCUCCACUUAGUUAGUUGUUUUUUCCAUGUUCCCCAAUUAAGUAGUGGUCUUUAAUAAUUUCUUAAUUAUAGCAGGGUGUUCCUCCAUGUUGAGUUCAUGAUUUUCAGCUUCCUUGUUUGUAGCCCUUUAGUAUUUAAGUUUAGCAAAUCAAUAAAUGAGACAUGUUCAAAAUUGUCCAAAGUUGUUAAGUACUAAGGCUCAAGUGAUUUUCACGUUCUCUCUUAAUGAGCUUGUACAACCUUCUAUUUUUUCCACUCAAUUGUCCUAUAACCAGAUCCUAUUCUAGAGACCAUAUUAGUACUUAAGUAUAAUUUAUGAAGAACAGGCCAUUUAGUGAAUCUUAUCUCAAAAUUAUAAGAUUUACAAUGGUCACAACUAUAAUUUGAUAUUCAUCACCAGUAAAAUUGUAAGAGAUGCAUUCUUCAACACCAACAUAGUUUCAUAUCUCAAGCAUGCUCAACUAUGCAACUACUGGUCGACCACUCCAUAACAUAACAAGCAAAAAUGUGAAAAGAUGAGUAAAACUUAAAUAUGAACUUGCACAUACAAGAUGGAAAUUUUGUCUACCAAGUCAACCGUGUGUAGCAGAACAACAUUCUACAGGAUACUUAAUUCAUUGAGAAUUUCCUUUUAGUAUUUCUCCCUUUUAUAAGGUUCAGAAUUUUGUAGGUAUUAUCCAAAGACAACAUUUCAAAGUCAUUUGGAUAAAAUAAAUAUACAAAUAGACCUAAAAAAUAAUAGUAGAAAGUAUAUAAGGACUGGAUAUAAAUAAUAAAAUAAAGGCCCAAACAAAAAACUAUUUAGCUACACUGGAUAUGAAUUUAUACCAUGACCAUGGUGUAAAGACUGGUCAGUGAAGAGAGAGACCGUAACAGCAAGACAAUCAAUCCACCACCUUCUACCGUAUCUAUUGUUCUGGCCAAAAGAUUUGGAGUCAAAGCCUCAAAGUCCUACAAUAAAGGAAACAUAUCAAUAUAAUCAAAAUAGAAGAGACCACAAUAAACAGUUAUUAUGAGAUAUUUGCAUUUGCAAAAGCUAAUAAAAAGCAAAUGGAAAAUAAUCACCUGCAAUAUGCACAUUCCAAAAGUAUUUCCAAGUAUUCUUUCAGAAUCUUUAUACAAGCAAUAGGUUAAUCCUCCAGUUUCAACAAAAAGUGAAAAAGGAUCAACUUUCCCAGGAUCCAACAGUCCCCUCUGCAUUAGCUUCUUUAUCUGCUUCGCUCUCUUUUUCUUGUGACUACACAACCAUAACGACCCCAAUCAUUAUUAAUAAUUAUAUUUAUCAAUUAACUUCAAAACUAAGAAAAACUAUAUCAUAAACAUUGCUACGUCUAUAAUUCAAAACUUUAGCACGUAAAGACUCUGGCUUGAAAACAUUUUAAAAAUAAACAAACAACAAAAAAAACACUUCUAAAGAUCAAGAAUAAACCUGCUAAGUUCAAGUUUGUCUUUGUAGCACCAUAGGACAGUUGGCCUGGAUUUGACCACUGCCUUGCUUAGCAUGUAGUGAAGGUUCACAAUCUGCAUAAAAUAAAAAUCUUAGCAAGUAAAUAAAUUUCCCAGAACCAAUUGGAAAGCACAUCUCCAAAACCCCUUAAAAUUUUCAAUACAAAAACCAAAUUCCAAGCUCCAUAAUUUGGCAGACUUGGAACAUGCAGGAGAUGAGUUAGUAAACCAAAGGAAUGGAUUGCCUGGUCGCGCGACUUGUCACCAAUGAUGACGAACAUAGAGCGGUGCCUCAAUUUGACGCCAUUUUGAAUGAGAGUUCUGAUCCGCUCGUCCACCUUCUUUCUCAUUUUCUUCUUCCUCUCUCUUCACCUCAGGAAGCAAGAGAAGCGAAGCUUAAGCUUUGGCCUGAACCGAUGGCGGUUAAAUUCUUAAGGUUUAUGGCGGUUAAAUUCGACCACUGAACCGAUGCUAAGGCAGACGUUCAUUCUAUGAACCGGGUUCUAUUGAACCGGAUCCGUUUGCUGAGACCCGAGGAGUGAGGGACACUGAGGGAAGACAUAUCUCUUUAAAAAAUGCAGUACUCUUUUUAUUUUAUUUUACUUAAAAAAAUAUGAUUUGAUUUUAAUAAUAAUGUUAUUAUAUUUACUAAAUUUUAAAAUUAUAAAUUUAACUCUGAUAUUAAAUAUAAGUUCCAACAUUUAACAUUAUAUUAAAAGUUUAAUAAACUAUCAAUAGAGGUGGAACUCUAAUUCGUUAUAGUAUAACAUGCCAAAUACUAUAUUUCAAAGGGAUCCGAGUAGAAUGCUCAUACAAACUAGGAAAUAACUUACUAAUUAAAGCAUAAUGCAAAGCACAAUUAAAAUUCUUAAGGUUCUCAAAUAUACUGCUUAGCCAUGAGGCAAAGAGCAUUUUUCUUGUGCAUUGUAAGGCCUGGUACCACUUCCAUGUCCAAGUCUUCAUUGCUCAUUCCAAAAGGCAUCUCCCAAUCAAAUUUGUAAAGCAAAUUAGCAAGAGCUAACUCCACUGUUGCAAGUGCUAUACUUACACCAGGACACAUUCUUCUCCCACCUCCAAAUGGGAUUAGCUCAAAAUUUUGUCCUUUCAAGUCAACAGAACUGUUGAUGAAUCUCUCAGGACAGAACUCUUGUGCAUUUUCCCAAACUUGUGGGUCUCUUCCAAUUGCAUAUACAUUCACAUAAACUGUAGUUUUUGCUGGGAUUUUGAACCCAUCUAAAUUGCAAUCCUCAGUUGUUUCUCUUGGGAUUAUGGGAAGUGCAGGUUGUAAUCUCAUUGUCUCUUUCACCACAGCUUUCAUAUAAGAUAGUUCUUGGAUUUCAUCUUCAUUUACAAAACCUUUGUUUCCAACUAAACCUCUGACUUCUUCUUGAGCUUUCUUCAUUUUUGUAGGAUUCUUCAUCAGGAAUGUCAUGGCCCAAAUCACAGCUGCUGCAUUAUUGUCUGUUGCUCCAGUAACUAUAUUCUGCAACAUUUGGAAAAAAAAAUAAAAAUAAAAAUAAAUGUAUUAUUUAAUGAACUCAAACAGUGUAUAAUUUUUUUUCAUUAAAAAAUAAUAUAAUAAUAACCAUUAACACUGCUUUGAUGUGACUAAAGGUGACUUGAAACUUGAGAGAAGGAUCAUUCCGGAGUUUAAGUAGGCCAUCAAGAAUAUCUUCUGAAUGAUCAUCAAGCUCUGAUCUACCAUAAUCAAGGUGUUCUUGGAUAAUCUUUUCAUAGAAAAUGUCAAAUUCUUGGAAAUUUUUUUCCAAGCGAUGGAUCAAUCCAGUGAGUUUAUCAACAAAACCCAGGAGAGGAAAAUAGUCUGAAACGUAGAAGCUCGUGAAAAGGGUCUCAGCUUCUCUAAGUAAAGCUUGAAUUCUACUAUUUUCUUCCUUGUACCUCUGCCCAAAAGUAAUCUUACUGAUUAUAGUAUUUGCAAGAGACAUGAUAGCCUCAGUUAUAUCUACAGGUUGGGAAGCAGAAACUAAACCGCAGAUCUCUCCAAGCAUAUGGGAAACUUCAGAUUCUCUAAUGGGACGGAAACUUCUGGCUCUAUUGGAGUUGAAGAGAUGAACUUUACAUAUUUUCCUCAUCUCUUUCCAAUAAGAACCGUAAGCUGCAAAGGCUAAGUCUAAGCCAUUGUAGGACAACUUCUGCUGGCUAAGCUUGGAUGGCCUGGCAGAAAAAAUGUGGUCAUGGGUUUUCAUUAUUUCUUUAGCCAUUUUGGCUGAGGAAACAACUAGAACUGGUUCAAAGCACAUGCGCAAAGACAUUAGAGGUCCGUACUUCUGAGAAAGUUUCCAUAGAGAGAUAUAAGAGGCUGAGUUAUGAAGUUGAUGCAAGUUGCCUAUGAAGGGAAGAGCUCGAGGACCUGGUGGGAAAUGAGGAUCUGUUCUUGUUUUGCGAUUUCGGAGAAGAAACAAGAGGAAGAUGAGGACAACUAAUGCAAGGAAGACAAGUGAAACCAUUGUAGCUUGUGAACUCAAUAACGUCCCAAGAGUUUAACAAAAGCUUUU